AAACGUGGUUUAAUGGCAGAACCUCAGCUUCCCAAGCUGAUGGCGCGGGUUCGAUUCCCGUCGUUUG
rnacentral:tRNA from 1 species